UUUUCAGGUCGUGAUUAUGGUCAGACAGUUUUUGUUACGAAUGGUAAAAUUAAAAUUUUAGAACGCGUCAAAAACAUACAUAUCCCCGUCUUUUCGGAUAUGAAUCUUUGCUAUAUAAAAGUUGUGGUUACAGCGCUAUCACCGCCGAAAGUGGAUUUGGAUUCAACUCACCGUAGUAUUAUUAUAAAAUACGGGUUUCUGCAGAACAUAUUACCAUCAUCAUACGAAGUAGUUGUUAAGGCCUGUCGAUCAUGUGAUAUAAGUUUGUAAUAAAAAUAAAAAAAGGUUUGUAAUUAUGUAAUUAAAAGUAUGAAUGAAAA